UGGCUGCAGGAUUUUGACUGUACAAAGGUAGCAUAAUCAUUAGUCUUUUAAUUGGAGGCUUGUAUGAAUGGUUGGACGAAGUAUAAACUGUUUCAUAAAAAUUUAUAAUAAAAUUUUAUAUUUUAGUAAAAAAGCUAAAAUUUUGUUAAAAGACGAGAAGACCCUAUAAAUCUUUAUAUUUUAUUUUUAUUGAAUUAUUUAGAUUUAUAAUUAAUUUAAUUUUAUUUAAAAUAUUUUAUUGGGGUGAUAUUAAAAUUUAUAAAACUUUUAAUUUUAAAUUGACAUUUAUUUAUGAUUUAUUGAUCCAUUAAUAAUGAUUAUAAGAAUAAGUUACUUUAGGGAUAACAGCGUAGGUUUUUUNGAGAGUCUUAUUUUNNNAAAGUUUCGNCNUCCANGUUGAUAAGAAAUAAAUUUAGGUGUAGAAGCUUAAAUAUUAAGUCUGUUCGACUUUUAAAUUCUUACAUGAUCUGAGUUCAGACCGGCGUAAGCCAGGUUGGUUUCUAUCUUUAAUUUUUUUUAAUAUUUUAGUACGAAAGGACCAAAUAUUGAAUUAAUAAUAAUUUAUAUUUUUGAAAAUAAGUAAAUA
rnacentral:rRNA from 1 species